rnacentral:rRNA from 1 species
GACGAACGCUGGCGGCGUGCCUAAUACAUGCAAGUUGAGCGCUGAAGGUUGGUACUUGUACCGACUGGAUGAGCAGCGAACGGGUGAGUAACGCGUGGGUAAUCUGCCUUUGAGCGGGGGACAACAUUUGGAAACGAAUGCUAAUACCGCAUAAAAACUUUAAACACAAGUUUUAAGUUUGAAAGAUGCAAUUGCAUCACUCAAAGAUGAUCCCGCGUUGUAUUAGCUAGUUGGUGAGGUAAAGGCUCACCAAGGGGAUGAUACAUAGCCGACCUGAGAGGGUGAUCGGCCAAAUUGGGACUGAGACAAGGCCCAAACUCCUACGGGAGGCAGCAGUAGGGAAUCUUCGGCAAUGGACGAAAGUCUGACCGAGCAACGCCGCGUGAGUGAAGAAGGUUUUCGGAUCGUAAAACUCUGUUGGUAGAGAAGAACGUUGGUGAGAGUGGAAAGCUCAUCAAGUGACGGUAACUACCCAGAAAGGGACGGCUAACUACGUG